rnacentral:rRNA from 1 species
UACGUAGGGCGCAAGCGUUGUCCGGAAUUAUUGGGCGUAAAGAGCUCGUAGGCGGUUUGUCGCGUCUGCUGUGAAAUCCCGAGGCUCAACCUCGGGCUUGCAGUGGAUACGGACAGACUAGAGGUAGGUAGGGGAGAAUGGAAUUCCCGGUGUAGCGGUGAAAUGCGCAGAUAUCGGGAGGAACACCGGUGGCGAAGGCGGUUCUCUGGGCCUUACCUGACGCUGAGGAGCGAAAGCGUGGGGAGCGAACAGG